rnacentral:rRNA from 1 species
AAAUUGAAGAGUUUGAUCAUGGCUCAGAUUGAACGCUGGCGGCAGGCCUAACACAUGCAAGUCGAACGGUAACAGUAAGAAGCUUGCUUCUUUGCUGACGAGUGGCGGACGGGUGAGUAAUGUCUGGGAAACUGCCUGAUGGAGGGGGAUAACUACUGGAAACGGUAGCUAAUACCGCAUAACGUCGCAAGACCAAAGAGGGGGACCUUCGGGCCUCUUGCCAUCGGAUGUGCCCAGAUGGGAUUAGCUUGUUGGUGGGGUAACGGCUCACC